rnacentral:rRNA from 1 species
GAUGGUAGUGUAUUGGACUACCAUGGCUUUAACGGGUAACGGAGGAUUAGGGUUCGAUUCCGGAGAGGGGGCCUGAGAAACGGCUACCACAUCUAAGGAAGGCAGCAGGCGCGUAAAUUACCCAAUCCUGACUCAGGGAGGUAGUGACAAGAAAUAACGGACCGAAGCCUAUGUUUCGGGAUUGCAAUGAGUAGAAUUUAAACCCCUUUACGAGGAUCAAUUGGAGGGCAAGUCUGGUGCCAGCAGCCGCGGUAAUA